GCCAGAUCAGCGGAUGGGGAUCCACAACGAGUCCUGAAGGUGAGAACACCUGGGACAGGUGAGAACACCUGGGACAGGUGAGGGGGAUGGGAACACACCUGGGACAGGUGUGAAUGGGGUGUGAACUCACCUGCCCGAGAGCCGGGACCACCUGCCAGAUCAGCGGAUGGGGAUCCACAACGAGUCCUGAAGGUGAGAACACACCUGGGACAGGUGAGAAACACACCUGAGGCAGGUGAGGGGGAUGGGAACACACCUGGGACAGGUGAGGGACAGGUGUGAAUGGGAUACCUGGGACAGGUGUGAAUGGGGUGUGAACUCACCUGCCCGAGAGCCGGGACCACCUGUCAGAUCAGCGGAUGGGGAUCCACAACGAGCCCGGAAGGUGAGAACACCUGGGACAGGUGAGGGGGAUGGGAACACACCUGGGACAGGUGAGGGACAGGUGAGAAUGGGGUACCUGGGACAGGUGUGAACUCACCUGCCCGAGAGCGGGGACCACCUGCCAGAUCAGCGGCUGGGGAUCCACGACCAGUCCGGAAGGUGAGAACACCUGGGACAGGUGAGGGGUACCUGGGACAGGUGUGAAUGGGGUGUGAACUCACCUGCCCGAGAGCGGGGAGCACCUGCCAGAUCAGCGGCUGGGGAUCCACAACCAGUCCUGAAGGUGAGAACACACCUGGGACAGGUGAGGGUGGGACAGGUGUGAAUGGGGUACCUGGGACAGGUGUGAACGCACCUGCCCGAGAGCGGGGAGCACCUGCCAGAUCAGCGGAUGGGGAUCCACAACCAGUCCGGAAGGUGAGAACACACCUGGGACAGGUGAGAGUGGGAACACACCUGGACAGGUGUGACAGGAGUAGCUGGGACAGGUGAGGGGGUGAAGUUACCUGUGCACAGGUGAGAGCUCAGCUCAGGUGUUCACCUGGACAGGUGUGACCCCAGGUGACCCCAGGUGACCCCAGGUGACCCCAGAUGACCUUGAGUGACCCACGUGUGACCAACCCAGGUGUGUCCAGGUGUGUCCGGUCAGUUUUUACCUGUCCAGGUGUGUCCGGUCAGUUUUUACCUGUCCAGG